rnacentral:misc_RNA from 1 species
GUCUACACAUGCAAAUCUUAACUGCAUUAUAACAAUUGCAUGUUAGUAGUAUGCUGUAUGCCCUAGAGUAUAACUAGUAAUUUGUAUCUUGUAAAUACUUAUUCCUCUUUAAUGGCGAAUAUCUUUUCUUUUAAUUUAAAUUGUUUAAAUUUAAUUGAAAGUAUCCUUUAACAGCUUGUUAAAUGUUCCACUCUUAAGGUGUUAAGAAUAUGAGCGACAGAAUAAUCUAGCACAAGUGUUAUAAAUUUUGGUUCACAGUCAAUGAUAUCUCAUUGAAUAUGAUUUAUACGUAUAGACUGUCACCUCUGUUUGUUUUCAUGUAUUAGUAUGAGAUAUUAAUAAAAUGGAAUGGUGAGUCUCAUGACAUAUAACAAAUAUGGUGAACACUUAUAAAAUAAGUAAGCUGAAC